rnacentral:rRNA from 1 species
AGCAGUAGCCGCGGUAAUACGUAGGGUGCAAGCGUUAAUCGGAAUUACUGGGCGUAAAGCGUGCGCAGGCGGUUAUAUAAGUCAGAUGUGAAAUCCCCGGGCUCAACCUGGGAACUGCAUUUGAGACUGUAUGGCUAGAGUGUGUCAGAGGGGGGUAGAAUUCCACGUGUAGCAGUGAAGUGCGUAGAUAUGUGGAGGAAUACCGAUGGCGAAGGCAGCCCCCUGGGAUAACACUGACGCUCAUGCACGAAAGCGUGGGGAGCAAACAGGAUUAGAUACCCCAGUAGUCCCUGUCUCUUAUAC